UAAUUACAAAAAUAAAUAUAUAAUAUAAUAUUUGUUGCUGCCUUGUUCUAUAUAAAUGUUUCUAACAUGCAGGUAACAUAUAUGUAUUAGUUUGAAUAAAUCAUUUUAAUUAAGUUACAUUAUAGGCAGGAAUGUUUAACUGGAAAUAUAAACGAUGUUGUUCAUAAUGCAGAUAGCUUAGGCGAAAAAGAAAUUGGUGAAAUGGAGAAUGAGACUAACUACGGUG